GAACCACUGGUUAAAGCAACAUUCUGAUGACCAGAUCUAGGUUUGCUGAGAUCUGCCAAAGGAAGGAAGUUCAGUUUCCACUCUUCGUGAGCAGGGUUGAAGCCAGUUUCCCUGAGGAUCCUCUGUAAGCAGAAGGGCCCACCCAUCCUUCUCUACCUUGAGCAAGCCUCUGAUCCUGCCAGGAGUGCCGUGUCCUGGCUGUGAAAACAUCUUCUGCCUACAGUGACACCUUAACUGGAGUUGAUAGGGUUGAUUUUCUGCUGGUUGGUGACAAAUGUGAAACCAUGGAAAAAUCUGCAGUUGCGGGCUGGCCCUGUCCCCAGAGACCAGCAACUCUGGGCCACAAGACUGCUCUUUUAUCUAUGACUAAAGAAACUAACAGGAUGACUCAGAGGCCAGGGGAAAACAUGCUCUAGGGAUUUCUUCUCUCAGACCCCUAAAAUGGGAGGAAGAUUAAUGGCUGGCAAAGUCACACUGCAGGUUAUAAUUCUCUUCCAGCAGGUUAUAAAGGUGUACUGACAAACUCUGCAAGGUGGAGGAGAUGAAGAAAAGCAAAGGCUAUAUGGCUGCUUUCAAAGCUGUUUAUCAGAAAAGAAGAUAUCUCUCAACAAAAUGACACCAUGUCUAAAAAUGCUUGCCUGGCAUCCCUAUCUGUUAUAUGCUGGAGUGUGAAUUACAUGUGCCUUCAUUGUAAUCAGAAAAUAAAAUGUAUGCCCAUGAAAUAUGUAAAUGUUAGAUAUGAAUAUGUGCUUAAUACAACAGACUGGCUAUAAACUUUGAAAUGGAUCAAGACUAAAAUUUUAUAUAUGAGCUUGCCCUUCUGUUUGAUGAAUUGUAUAGACUGGUAGCUUUGUGGAUUCUAUAGGUAUCCCAGCUUUCUCAUAAAAUGUGGAAUAUUUAUUAUGUAAUAUCGACAGCAGGAUAUUAAUAUUAUUCUAAAAACUACAUACAAAUGCUCCUUGACUUAUGAUGGGGUUGUUUCCCAGUAAAUCCAUCAUAAAUUGAAAAGAUCAUAAGUCAAAAAUGCAUUUAAUAUGCCUAAUUUACUGAGCACCAUAGAUUAGCCUAGCCUACCUUAAAUGUGCUCAGAACACUUACAUUAGCUUACAGUUGGGCAAAAGCCAUCUAACACAAAGCCUAUUUCAUCAUAAAAUGUUGACUAUCUCAUGUAAUUUAUUGAACACUGUACUAAAAUUGAAAAACAGAAUGAUUGUGUGGAUAUUUGAAGUACAGUUUUUACUGCAUGGGUAUCGCUUUUGCACCAUGCCACCUCUUUCUUUCUCCUCAUAUAUAUAAAUAUAUAUAUAUAUAUAUGAUGGGAGGAGGAAAGAGAGAGAGGGAGAGAGAGG
rnacentral:lncRNA from 1 species